UCGUGGCGGCCACGGUCGCCCCGGACGAGUGGUGGGCGUACCCGGUCAGGCCAAGACGCCCCGCG
rnacentral:ncRNA from 1 species